rnacentral:lncRNA from 1 species
CUGGCUUUUCUCAGUGUGGUUUGUGUUGUAACCCUAACAGUCUGUGAGGGUGGUACACAUGGUAAUCUUUGCUGAGCAUAUCCUGAACGUCUGAUGUUUGUUUUGCUGGUUUUGAACUCUCACAUUCUGGAAAGAAAAGGGAAGUAGAAAGACAGCUGGGCAGCACAGACAUUUAUUUUACCUUCAUGUUUCCUUGAUAGCGUACGACACAGGGCAUGCAGUUAUAAUUUUAUAAGGAAGAUACUGCUCAGCCUUGCUUCUGACGGUGCCAUCUUUCCCUUCAAUCUCUUAAAUGAAAAUUCUACUGUCAUCCUGCAGCCGCAUAGGUACCUCAAGUUGAAAAAAAUGCACCUGUUUUUUUUUAACUUCUGUGGGUUCAGGAGCAGUCUCAGAAGUGUAAGUAUUGUGAGCUAUAGACUUG